GACGAACGCUGGCGGCGUGCUUAACACAUGCAAGUCGAACGGAAAGGCCCUGCUUUUGUGGGGUGCUCGAGUGGCGAACGGGUGAGUAACACGUGAGUAACCUGCCCUUGACUUUGGGAUAACUUCAGGAAACUGGGGCUAAUACCGGAUAGGAGCUCCUGCUGCAUGGUGGGGGUUGGAAAGUUUCGGCGGUUGGGGAUGGACUCGCGGCUUAUCAGCUUGUUGGUGGGGUAGUGGCUUACCAAGGCUUUGACGGGUAGCCGGCCUGAGAGGGUGACCGGCCACAUUGGGACUGAGAUACGGCCCAGUCUCCUACGGGAGGCAGCAGUGGGGAAUAUUGCACAAUGGGCGGAAGCCUGAUGCAGCAACGCCGCGUGCGGGAUGACGGCCUUCGGGUUGUAAACCGCUUUCGCCUGUGACGAAGCGUGAGUGGCGGUAAUGGGUAAAGAAGCACCGGCUAACUACGUG
rnacentral:rRNA from 1 species